rnacentral:rRNA from 1 species
AAGCAUGGGUAGCGAAGAGGAAUAGAUACCCUCGUAGUCCAUGCCGUAAACGAUGUGCGUUAGACGUUGGAAAUUUAUUUUCAGUGUCGCAGGGAAACCGAUAAACACACCGCCUGGGGAGUACGACCGCAAGGUUAAAACUCAAAUGAAUUGACGGGGACCCGCACAAGUAGUGGAGCAUGUGGUUUAAUUCGAAGAUACGCGCAGAACCUUACCAACACUUGACAUGUUCGUCGCGACUCUAAGAGAUUAGAGUUUUCGGUUCGGCCGGACGAAACACAGGUGCUGCAUGGCUGUCGUCAGCUCGUGUCGUGAGAUGUUGGGUUAAGUCCCGCAACGAGCGCAACCCUCACUUUUAGUUGCCAUCAUUAAGUUGGGCACUCUGAAAGAACUGCCAGUGAUAAGCUGGAGGAAGGUGGGGAUGACGUCAAGUCCUCAUGGCCCUUACGUGUUGGGCUACACACGUGCUACAAUGGUAUCUACAACAGGAAGCAAGACUGCGAAGUUAAGCAAAUCCCUAAAAGAUACCUCAGUUCGGAUUGCACUCUGCAACUCGAGUGCAUGAAGCUGGAAUUACUAGUAAUCGUGGAUCAGCGUGCCACGGUGAAUGCGUUCCCGGGUCUUGUACACACCGCCCGUCACACCAUGGGAGUUGGUUCUACCUUAAGGCAAGGUUUCAAACCCUUGACCACGGUAUAGUCAGCGACUGGGGUGAAGUCGUAACAAGGUAGCCGUA